GACUCCGUAGCUCACUUGGUAGAGCGCUUGCCGUGUUUCGGUAUGGUGUUUCUGUCGCUGGUUCGAAUGCAGCCGAAGUCC